rnacentral:rRNA from 1 species
AGAGUUUGAUUCUGGCUCAGAACGAACGCUGGUGGCGUGUCUUAUACAUGCAAGUCGAGCGAGGCAGCAAUGCCGAGCGGCGAACGGGUGAGUAACGCGUAAGCAAUCUGCCCCAUAUCAGGAAAUACCCGUGCCAACGCGCGGUUAAUGUCCAGGAGAGUGGCCCUCUGCAUGGAGGGUUGACUAGAGAUUUAUCGGUAUGGGAUGAGCUUGCGUCCGAUCAGCUAGUUGGCGGGCAACGGCCCACCAAGGCGACGAUCGGUAGCCGGCCUGAGAGGGUGAUCGGCCACAUUGGGACUGAGAUACGGCCCAGACUCCUACGGGAGGCAGCAGUAGGGAAUAUUGCACAAUGGGGGAAACCCUGAUGCAGCAACGCCAACCGUGUGGGAAGAAGCAUUUCGGUGUGUAAACCACUGUCAUGAGGGAAUAAGGCCCGCUUUCGGGCGGGAUUGAAUGUACCUUGAGAGGAAGCACCGGCAAACUUCGUGCCAGCCGCGGC